rnacentral:rRNA from 1 species
UGGGGAAUUUUGGACAAUGGGCGCAAGCGUGAUCCAGCCAUUCCGCGUGAGUGAAGAAGGCCUUCGGGUUGUAAAGCUCUUUCGCAAGGGAAGAAAACUUAGUCUCUAACAUAGACUGAGGUUGACGGUACCUUGAUAAGAAGCACCGGCUAACUACGUGCCAGCAGCCGCGGUAAUACGUAGGGUGCGAGCGUUAAUCGGAAUUACUGGGCGUAAAGCGUGCGCAGGCGGUUUUGUAAGUCAGAUGUGAAAUCCCCGAGCUCAACUUGGGAACUGCGUUUGAAACUACAAGACUAGAAUAUGUCAGAGGGGGGUAGAAUUCCACGUGUAGCAGUGAAAUGCGUAGAGAUGUGGAGGAAUACCAAUGGCGAAGGCAGCCCCCUGGGAUAAUAUUGACGCUCAUGCACGAAAGCGUGGGGAGCAAACA